UCUUAUCAUCCGGCAUUCUAAUCAUGUGUUUUCAAGAAUGCAUUUACAGAUAUGGAAAGAAGAGCCUGUGGUGACUGAUGUCUUUAAUUUUGUGUGACAUAGGCAAAUGAUGGCUCGUGGUGAGCCAUACCCUGGAGGCAGAGCAGCUCGUGCCGUUCGUGAGAGUUUCGCUGGAGCGUGGUAUGCAGGAUGCACACGUGGAGGAUUCAUCUUUCACAUCAGAUGAUGAGUGAGUGUCCCCUCUUAACAGCUGCCAAGGAAACUGUAC